GUCAACUAAAUUGGUCGCGCCGUCCGGUUCUCGAUAAAAUAGUUUUUGCGUCGUUAUAUCCUCGAGUGUAUAAAGUGUUGUGCAGUGCGACGACAGUCCGGCCAAACGGAUCUUGUAUUAUUUAGUUUACGUAUAUAUUUUAUGAGUCACAUUAAUUCUAGUUCGACCGUCAGACAUGAUUCCGCGACCCGUAGUCAACAGUUCCCCGAAAAUUAUAUACCGAGGGCUGUGCAUCAAGACGAGGCACAUAAUAUCAGUCAUCCAUAUUUAUUAUUCAAAGCUCAAAAGUUCACUGUACUGCAUUGUAUGCACCGUAUUCGGGAGAUGUAUUGUGCCGGAGGCAAGAAGCCGCCUCCCGUGUACCUAUCACACACACCACUGCGGCGUGUUUAAGGAAAUGCACGCGUACCUAUACCGUACGAGUGUCUUUGGAGAUUCCAACGAAACGAUAUAUUUUAAGCCGUCUUCGCCCCCGCGUCGCACAAUGAAACUCGUCUCGAGAGUAAAUUCGUAUAUAAUACAGGCGUGCGUCGAUGCGCUGUAUAUACCUGUUGAACCUGCCGUUCCACGACACAAUCAUGACCUAACUUGAAGGGAUACCCAUCGUUAUUAUUAUUAUGCGUAUACCACCGAACCUAUCGACGAGCAGGAAGGAGCGAGCACCCCCCUCGACGGGCGAUCGAUCCCGUUACUGCGCGAGUCUGAAGAUCCCGCUCAUACAGCACAUGUGCGGGUCGACUGCCGGGACCACCUGCACCUGACUAUAUGUAUACGGAUUUUAAGUAUUUAUACAGUACAUAUAAUACCCGUUACGUGCGGCAGCCAACCCGGUAUAUAUGCCUACCCGCGUGUAGUCAUUGUGUUGGCUUCAACUCGGGUUAUUUUUUCUUCUUCUUUCACCGUUCCUAUUAUGGAAAUGCGAGCCCACCCCGCGCGCCGCUCCGCUCUCGUAAUAUUUUUGUUGUUUACUAACCGCGCGCAGAUGUUAUGGAUAUUAUGCGCGGCGUGCGUAUGCGUAUGGUGUUUAGGUACGAUAGUAUUACGUUGUACCGUUAUUCGGGUUGAAAAUAAUAUAUAUUAUAUAUUAUAUUGUAUAUAAUGUAAUCACUUCAUUUCAUUUCAAUAAAAAUCAGAAAACAUCCGGCCACCGUAUACGCACACAUAUUACUUAUACUUAAACGCCGUGGUUUACAGUUAUUCAUUUUUUCUAGCGAACAUCUCGUUAGGAAAAUCUGUACAAUUUAAUGUUAGUAUAAGUAUAAUAGAUACAUGUUAACCGUGGUGUUGUAGGUAACUAGAUAGAUGUAGCUGGUUACGUAGGUUACGUUAUUACGUUUUUUCAGCUUCUAAUCCUUAUACAUAAUUCUUAACUUAUCCUUUUAAUUUAUUAUGCUAUAUUUUACCUAGGUAUUACACCUUUAAUUCACUUACCUAAAUAUAUACGAUUCUUGUAACAGUUAUAACUGAUUAUUUUAAUUUUAUUGAAAUUAUUUAUUUUAUAAUGCACCAAAACAUAAUAAACAUAAUGGUAUAACGGUAUACACUUAUU